GAUCCUGCCGGACCUGACUGCUAUCGGAUUGAUACUAAGCCAUGCGAGUCAUUGUAGCAAUACAAGGCAGACGGCUCAGUAACGCGUAGUCAAUCUACCCUAUGGACGGGAAUAACCUCGGGAAACUGAGAAUAAUGCCCGAUAGAACAUUAUGCCUGGAAUGGUUUAUGUUUCAAAUGAUUUAUCGCCAUAGGAUGGGACUGCGGCCUAUCAGUUUGUUGGUGAGGUAAUGGCCCACCAAGACUAUUACAGGUACGGGCUCUGAGAGGAGUAGCCCGGAGAUGGGUACUGAGACACGGACCCAGGCCCUAUGGGGCGCAGCAGGCGAGAAAACUUUGCAAUGUGCGAAAGCACGACAAGGUUAAUCCGAGUGGUUUCUGCUAAAGAAACCUUUUAUCAGUCCUAGAAACACUAAUGAAUAAGGGGUGGGCAAGUUCUGGUGUCAGCCGCCGCGGUAAAACCAGCACCUCAAGUGGUCAGGAUGAUUAUUGGGCCUAAAGCAUCCGUAGCUCGUUUUGUAAGUUUUCGGUUAAAUCCAUGCGCUUAACGUAUGGGCUGCCGGGAAUACUGCAUAACUAGGAAGUGGGAGAGGUAGACGGUACUCGGUAGGAAGGGGUAAAAUCCUUUGAUCUAUUGAUGACCACCUGUGGCGAAGGCGGUCUACCAGAACACGUUCGACGGUGAGGGAUGAAAGCUGGGGGAGCAAACCGGAUUAGAUACCCGGGUAGUCCCAGCUGUAAACUAUGCAAACUCAGUGAUGCAUUGGCUUGUGGCCAAUGCAGUGCUGCAGGGAAGCCGUUAAGUUUGCCGCCUGGGAAGUACGUACGCAAGUAUGAAACUUAAAGGAAUUGGCGGGGGAGCACCACAAGGGGUGAAGCCUGCGGUUCAAUUGGAUUCAACGCCGG
rnacentral:rRNA from 1 species